rnacentral:sRNA from 1 species
AUAGGUACAACUAGGUGUUAGAAAUAUAAUGUACUAUGCAAAGCAUUUGCCAUUAUAACUCUGAUACAAAUGUUCUCAACAGGCAAUGAACACCAGGGAAAGUGGCAAAGCUUCAUCCAGUCUAGGUCUUCAGGAUUUUGAUUUGCUCCGGGUAAUAGGAAGAGGAAGUUAUGCCAAAGUACUGUUGGUUCGAUUAAAAAAAACAGAUCGUAUUUAUGCAAUGAAAGUUGUGAAAAAAGAGCUUGUUAAUGAUGAUGAGGAUAUUGAUUGGGUGCAGACAGAGAAGCAUGUGUUUGAGCAGGCAUCCAAUCAUCCUUUCCUUGUUGGGCUGC